rnacentral:tRNA from 1 species
GAGUUUGUAGCUCAGCGGAUAAGAGCACUUGUUUCCGACACAUGUGGACGAGGGUUCAAUUCCCUCCAAACUCG